ACAUUGGUGGUUCAAUGGUAGAAUUCUUGCCUUCCAUGUGGGAGACCCUGGUUUGAUUCCUGGUCAGUACA
rnacentral:tRNA from 1 species